UUUCUUUAAAUUCAUGAUGUCGUAAGGGAAAAUAAUGAUAUUACCUUACUAUGAGUGUCGUCCAAAUCUGGUGCCAGAAGACUCGGUAAGACCAGAGACGCAAACGUUAAUCAUCAUAAACAGGCGUAAAGGGUUUGUAGGCAGCUCCCACCAGACUAUGAUUCCAAAAUAAAGUAGUCUAAUUGAGAGCUAGAAUCAAAAAGAGGUUAUAGUGUAUAACGCCUAGAGGAGGGCUGAUAUCCAUAGAUCCUAGGCAGAAUACUCAGGGCGAAGGCCACUCUCCACUAAUGAUUGACGCUGAGAAACGAAGGUUAGGGUAGGAAAUAGGAUUAGAUACCCCGGUACUCCUUUCUGUAAACGAUGAAUGGUAGUCAUUAGUUUAAA
rnacentral:rRNA from 1 species